ensembl:snRNA U6 U6 spliceosomal RNA
GUUCACUUUCCCUGCGCAUAUGCUAAAAUUGGAACGAUACAGAGAAGAUUAGCAUGGUCCCUACACAAAGGUGACACACAAUUUAUGAAGUAGUCCAUAUUUUU